UGCGGAUUGGUGUAAUUGGCAGCACAGCAGACUCUGACUCUGUUAGUAGAGGUUCAAGUCCUCUAUCCGUAG
rnacentral:tRNA from 2 species